rnacentral:lncRNA from 1 species
GUAGACCUCGACACUGAAAAGUGUGAAUUUUAUCUUAUGUAAAUGAUACCUCUUCCCCCACCUUUUCUUCUGGGGGAGGGGGAGGAAUGCUCUUUCAAAGCUGAAGGAACUAGUAAUGAUUUUGGAGAGUUUUAAGGGAAUGCAUUUAACUUAAGAAUAUAGCAAAAUAAAAGCAGCUUUUCUCUGUACCACUAAAAUUUGGCAAGACUUGCUUGAACCAUGAUAUAUUGUGUCUGUUCAGGCUACUAUGCAUGCAGUCUCAUCUUACCAAAUUAGUCCCCAGGGCUGCUGUGAUUGAUAUUUUGGUAAAGUUCCAGUAAUUUAGGGAGAAGUUUUUCUCUGGCCCAAGGAAGUAAUUUGCAGAGUGAAGUUCUUAAACAGCUACAGAACAACUUUUUUUAUUGGGACCCCAAACAACCUCAGUUUUACUUCUGCUGCUCCUUCCUAUCUGCCCUCUUUUCUAUAGAUUCAGAAUUGUGAGUUAAUAUCUGAAAUGAAGCUCUAGUCUGAACGAAUAAAAUGCUGCUGCUUUUCUCUGGUGAUUCUGGAAUAGGAGUGAUGUUGGACUUGAAAAUUAAAACCUUAAUGCCUACAUAUGCUGUAGAAGUGAAAGUUUCUGUUCAGUUCUGCCAAUAGGAGUACAAUAAAUUGUCGGAAAGAAAGUUAACACUUACUGGGCUGCUUUUCCAUGUGGGGAACACGUAGGCCACAUUUUAAUUGAUGAUUAAACCUUUGCUCUAGAAGCCACUGGAAAAUGAGAAACCUGUUAAGGUUUUUUUGGUAAAGUUCAACCACUGGAAAACUUUUCUGAGAGCUGUGAUAACUGGUCACAACUGUUUCCUGAAAACUUGCUGCUCUCAGAGUUCCCUUGUGGUGCGGCGGGUUCAGGAUCUGGCAUUGUCACCUCUGCGGCUUGGGUCGUUGCUGUGGUGCAGGUUCCAGCCUUUGGCCUGAGAACUCCACAUGCCACAGGCGAGGCCAAAGAAAAUCAAAAACAAACCCAACAAAAACUGUCAGCUCCCAGUAUCUAGAAGAAAAGGGCAAAGGAGAUGACAGCUGGAGGAGAAUAUCUACCACAGAACCACAGAGCCUACACGCAGGAAAUAGUAGAUAAUCACUGAGUUCCGUGGGAACCAGGUACAUAGUUUGUGGCGCAUGGAGUUUUAGUAAAAGUCUGAGUAAAAAUCUGACCUCCUGGCUCAGAGUUUCUCUUAUUCCUUUUACCAGAUGUCAGUUUAGUCUGAAGUUUUCCACGUCUCUUAAAAUGUUUGAAUCACACAGUCUCCUUUUUUUCUUAUCUCUAAUUUGCAGUAACCUUUAGGAAUGUAACUAAUAAUGCUAAUGUAUCUAUUUUGGUGUAGUUUGAUAAACAUCUGUGGCUGUGAGGUUUUUUUGUUUUUGUUUUUUUCUAUCUUCAGAAAGUCCUUUAUCUGUCCCUGGCUGCAGGGCUUGGUACUUCGGUUAGGGGUGAGGAGAAGUUUCAAGUGUGUUUUCUUGUCCCUAAGUCUCGGGGAUGAAGCCUGCAAGGGAAUAGGAGUUAUAUGUUACUCUGGCAUUACCAAGUUUUCACAAAAUAGUGAAGAGUGAAUUGAAUAUACCUUUAUUCCUAUAGUCCUUUGGAAGUUGCUUGUGGCCAGUUUUUGUUUUCUCAGAUAACAAAGUAUUAUAUUUGGGCCCAUGACUUUAUCAGAAAAAAUAUUUUGAUUUGUUGUGAAUCCUUUUUGGUUUUUUUCCCUGCAGUUAAAGAAGUGUUUAUCUUGGAUAUCAGCUCGUUCUGAGCCAUAGUUAACCACCUAAGAGUACCAGGCUAAGGAUUCCUUGCUGUUUAGUUUUUCUAGUUUUCCCUUUUGUUGCAGGUACAGGUGUAUUGAACUAGGCUUCUGUACAUUGGAUUUCCUCAUGCUAUCCCAUUUUCCUACUCAUAAAAUUGGAGAUUGUUAAAUAUUUUGAUCUGCAGAUAUAACUAAUAUAAUGUUUUUCCUAAAAGUAAAAAUUCAUUUCUAACGAAAUAGUAAUACUCAUAUUUUUCUAUUCCGAGGGAGUUGAGGCUUUUUUUUUGUCACUUAAUAGUCUUAACGGGAAACAAGAUUACUUAACAGAACUGGCAAGAUUAGCAGUCCUUUUUGUUAUUAAAUUCAUCUAGCAACUCAAGCCAGAGAUUAGCUGUGUGGACUCCAUUUCCAAUUGGGAGUUUCCUCUAGGUUUAGAAAUAAACAGAUCAUAAAACCGAGGUACAAACACAGCUGUUGACAGUUUUCAACUGAAAUAAAUUUGAAUGGAAGAAGAAUGCUUCUAAAUGAUGAUAAAAUUUAAAUACCAAACUUAGGCCUUGGAAAUUUUUUCUUUCUUAUUCAAGUCCUUUCCAAGUAGACGUUAAUUAAUAAUUACGGUAAAUCCGAACACUCUUGGCUGGCAGUAGAAGAUGAUUCCACCUCUGAAGUUCAGAUUUGGAGAGGGGUCUGAGUGAUGCUGAUAACCAAGCCAAAGUGAAAGGUUAACCCCUUCACAUGCCGAGGCUCAGUGAUGGGGGAGGAGAGGGCAGAGGAGCAGGGCAGGCAGAAAUGCUCUCUGUAUUUCUUGGAAGGACUAACACAUUGUCUCGAAACGUAGAUAAUCAGGUAUCUACCUAGAACUCAAUAAAUACUGCAACAUUUUAGGCUUAUUACCUAUCUGCCUCCACUGAAUUUCGCUUUCCACUUUGUUUAGGACACAAUUCAUUCCAGCAUAGGGUCUGAAAAUGCUGUGACUAAGUCGUUUAAAGGUUUCAGUUUCAGAAAGUAGACAGGACUCUUCAGUAGCAAUAGUUUUCUCUUAAGCACAGUUAAGAGAAAGUAACUGUUAGUGCUGACAAAUACUCAAAGACGCUUUUACCAUAAGUUUUGGACAUUUUGCUCAUGUCCCAAAUUUAAGCUGAGGCCACUUUUGUAUUUUUGGACAAGGCCAGCGUAAUGGUUCUAUCCUUUUAAAAGCCCAGUGAGAUACAGCCUUUGCUUGGUGUGUGUUAGAACCGCAAAGGAAUACUGUUAUUUUGAAUUUCAGAGAUAGUGACCCUCCAGAGGCUUCUAAGCGGGCUGAUUUUGCAUUGAAUCCCUGAAAUACUCUUGGGCAUCAGUAUCGUCUGUCUGACAAGGAGGUGAGCUGGUGAGGUUUUGCCACCAGCUGUCUAAUCACGUUGCCUAAGCUUACUAACUCCUCUAAACUUGAGCUUUCUCGUCUGUAAAGUGGGCAUAAUAUUUCCUUUAUCCAGUGUGUAAAAUACUCACUUCAAUUCCUGAUACAGAAAAUGCCUGAAUGAUGGGGUUAUGGCGAAGCCAGUCAUGUUGGGGACCUGUCACAGGGAACACAUAGUUUCAACAGCUCAGUAACAAACACCGGGGCACUUAGCAUGGAUAAUUUUUGCCCUUAGGUUCAUCAACUCAGUUGUUUAAUAUAGGACAUGUAUGUGACUGCAGAUCAGCUUACGUAGCAAAAGGUUUAGUUGGUUACUGUCUUAUCCAUGCAUCACUUAUCUCUGCAUUUCAGUUAGAUACUCAAGAAAUGGACCCUCGGAGUUCCCGUCGUGGCUCAAUGGUUAACGAAUCCGCCUAGGAACCAUGAGGUUGUGGGUUCUAUCCCUGGCCUUGCUCAGUGGGUUAAGGAUCCAGCGUAGCCGUGAGCUGUGGUGUAGGUUGCAGACGCGGCUCGGAUCCCGUGUUGCUGUGGCUCUGGUGUAGACUGGUGGCUACAGCUCCAAUUCGACCCCUAGCCUGGGCACCUCCCUAUGCUGCAGGAGCGGCCCAAGAAAUGGCAAAAGAAAGAAAAAAAAAA